UACGGAGGGUGCAAACGUUGCUCGGAAUCAUUGGGCGUAAGACGCACGUAGGCGGCUUGUUAAGUCGGAUGUGAAAGCCCCAGGCUCAACCUGGGAAGUGCAUUCGAAACUGGCGAGCUUGAAUAUGGAAGAGGGUCGCGGAAUUCCCGGUGUAGAGGUGAAAUUCGUAGAUAUCGGGAGGAACACCAGUGGCGAAGGCGGCGACCUGGGCCAAUAUUGACGCUGAGGUGCGAAAGCGUGGGGAGCAAACAGG
rnacentral:rRNA from 1 species